GUUCAUUCUUCUAUUAUCUGUCAGACACAUCGGAAUAUAUGCUCCAUUAUGGCAACAGUCUUGUCUUUCCAGAUUUAGAGAAGUAGCCAGCUUAUAGAAGAUGCUCAAUAAAAUGCAGUAAAUGGAGUCUUGAAUCCAGAAAAUGUCACAAAUCAAUGUGAACUCCUUUUCAUAAGAAUGGGCAUACAUAAAGUACCUGGCACAACAGAAGUGGUCAAAAAACUGUAUCUGUGAUCAUCAAUGCCAUCAUAUGAAAACCAGAGAGCAUGCACCUCCACAAAGAUAGCAGCAGUGGUUCUCAGAAUCACCUGGAAGCUGGUUAAAACCCAGUUUGCUGGACCCACCCUCAGAAUCCCUAACUCAGCAGCUUUGAAGUGGGCCAAGAAUUUGCACCAAGUCUCCAAGGGAUGCUGGUGCCUUUGAUCCAGGGACCACACUGCUCAAGAGGCACUCAUCACAGGAGUAGUCAACUCAUCUCCAUGGAGCAUGUGUUCCCCGCAAGCCCAUACUCUUCCUGAGGGGGAAGUGCUCUAGGAAGGAAGAUCCAAAGGAAAGGAGAAAGGAAAAAAGAGAAGAAAAGAAGGGGGAAAGGGAAGGAGCUCUCUUCACAAAACAAGACUUUUUGGUAGUGCCUAGGGGUAUCCUUGUGCCUCUGCUUCAGUGUUCAAAGCUGUCCUUUGUGAUAACACUGGGCCAGGAGGAGAAUCCAAGAUCAUCUCCUCAUCUCAAGAUCCUUGACUUGAUCACUUCUGCAGAGUGCCUUUGCCAUGUAAGGUGACAUUGCUUCUGGGGAUUAAGUUGUGCACAUCAGGGGCUAUUAUUCUGGCAACCAUCGUCAUCAUUCCGAGCUGCUACGGAACCAACUCAUUAUUCUGAAAAUUGGGUCUCCAGCUUGCAGAAAAUUCCAUGUCUUUUAAGGAUAUGUGCUGAAAUAUUUAGAGAAGAAAUGAUAUGAUGUCUUAGAUUUGCUUCAAAAUAAUCCAGUUGUGGAGAGAUGGCUAGGUAUAUUAAAAUAAGGUUGGCCAUAAAUUAAGAAUUGUAGAAGCUAGAGGUUGGGUACAUGGGAGUUUAUUAUUCUCUUCUAUUCUUGUAUUGGUUUGAAAUUUCUCAUAAUGACAAGUUUAAAAAUAAUAAUAAUAAACAAUAUGCACCCAGAAAUAAAAUUACUGGGUAUGAGUGUUUCCAAGGCAUUUAAAAUGUAUUGUCAAAUUGCUUUCCACAAAGGCUGUAGCAAUUUAUAGUUCCACUAGUAGCAAAUGAGAAUGCUGAGGAUAUAAUAUUUUAAAGAAUAUAUAAUCACUUGGAUAAACGGAGGAACACAUAUUUCUCAGUUGUCCAUGCCUUUAGAAAGGCUAAUGGCGUAUUAUGGGAUAUUAUGGCCCAGUCAUGACUACACACCUGGAGGCCUUGUACCUGAACAGCAGGGAAAAAAUUCAAAGAGUAAAUGGAGUUCAGCAUGACAGUCUUGCCAAUUCAGAUUUAUACAAAUCUAAAUUACCCAAAUGAGGGGUUUCGCUGUUAUUCUUGACACCAUUGCAGAGGAUCUUUCUGAACAUCUAUUGAGAUAUUAGUUUAACGGGAAAAUCUACCAUUGUAUCUUCUCAGUGAAAUCUGAUUAUCUUCAAGAGGCUUCCUCACAUAAAAAGGGGGGCGGGGGGAAUCAAUGCCUGGGUUUCUCUGCCUAGCAUGAAAAAUAAUUUUCUGCUAUAGGGUAAUUUUGAGCUCCUGUAAUCUUCCAAUUAUGUUUGAUUGCAGUGCCUCCUUCCUGUCUCAGUAUUAAAGGAUGGUCAGCACUUUUCUGCAACCAAAACUGACUUUCAGAUGAAGCCGCCACUUAUUUCAAUGGCUUGUUUAUAAUCAGCAGCUCUUUGGGCAUGUGGAGCAUCCCCUCCUUGGAGGAGGAGCCCACUCCAGGACCUCUCCCUGGCUGUUAGCCAACCUGUUAACGCAUCACAGGGUUUAGGGGUCUACUAGGUGAGAUAAGCCUUCAGGUACUGUGCAGGGACACGAAGAAUAAUGAGUUGGGUAUCUGCCCCCUAGGAGGGCAUCAUGCUAGUGGGAGAGUCACAGGCAUAGGUGUGAAAAGUCACACUCCUAGAAGGCACCUUGCCAGUGAAAGAGUUACAGGUACGUAUGUGAAAAAUCACGUAACGAUUGAACCAGUCAUUCAUUCCACAGAUACUAAACAUGCUUGAUGUUGGUAGCAAAGAGAUGAAUAAGUCAGAAUCCCUGCACUUAAAGUAUUCAUCUUGUAAGAAAACAGAAAUAUGAACAAAUAGUUAAAAUGCCACUUUGUAAGCGUAGUGCUAGAGGAAUGUGUCAAGGUUUGUAGUGAAAUGAGAAGGGACUUCUGACUAUUCAAGGAGACUUCCUGAAGGAUGAGAAGGUUGGACUGUCUGUUUUUCAGAAGGUUGGACUUAAAAGGCGGUCAGUGAGGGGAGGUGCCCUCCAGGCAGAAAGAAGUAUAGGUGGAAAGGCAGGGAGACUUGAAAUCAUGUGAAUCUUUGAGUGGAAUGGCAAUUCAUUUGCUCUGGAGCAAAGUUAGAGGAUGGGUAGGGAAGGGACAGAAAAUGAGAAUGGGAAGGUAGGAAAUGCUAGAUACUAGAAGGCCUUGUCUGCAAUGCAGAGGCAUUUGUUUGUUUUUUAAACUAUGCUAAAGUAUGAUUUUGUAGAGCUGGACAACUGAGUGAAUGAAGAGGGGAGAAGUGCCCAAGGAUGGCACGUUGCUUUGUGUGAGAACCUAGCGUCUUGAAAGGAUCAGGGAGGAAUGUCAUGCUGAGAAUAACCCUGGGACAUGCCAAGCCCGAGAAGAGAUAAAACUCCUUUGCAGAAUUACAUGACGCGAAUCAUCCAUUCAGAUACCCUACCACCAAGGGGCUGGAGCAUGACUCCUUAUUCCUUAGGUGGCAGCUGCUUCUAGCGACUUUUUUCCAAAGGUGCAGUGUGGAAUUGGGGGCAGAAGUCAGAGAGAAUAAUUUCACAAUUAAGAAACAUGACAAGCUCAACUUCAGCCAGGGGGCCAAGGUCAACAUCAACAGUCAUAAAUCGUGUCAAUGGUAGGUAACCUUGAUAUGAGAUGAUAACAUUGGCACUUUAUCUCUGUGGUCUCCCUCAUGAUAACCCACAACCCCAAUUUAAUCAUGAGAGAAAACAUCAGACAAAUCCUAGGAGAAGGACAUUCUUCAAAAUACUUGACCAGUGUUCCCAAAACUGUCAUGGUCCUCAAAAACAAGGAAAGUCUUAGAAACUGUCACAGCAAGAAGAGCCUAAGAAAACAUGACGGCUAAAUGUAACGUGGUAUCUUGGAUGGCAUUCUGAGACAGAAAAAAAUCAACA
rnacentral:lncRNA from 1 species